UGGGGAAUUUUGGACAAUGGGCGAAAGCCUGAUCCAGCAAUGCCGCGUGUGUGAAGAAGGCCUUCGGGUUGUAAAGCACUUUUGUCCGGAAAGAAAUGGCUCUGGUUAAUACCUGGGGUCGAUGACGGUACCGGAAGAAUAAGGACCGGCUAACUACGUGCCAGCAGCCGCGGUAAUACGUAGGGUCCAAGCGUUAAUCGGAAUUACUGGGCGUAAAGCGUGCGCAGGCGGUUGUGCAAGACCGAUGUGAAAUCCCCGAGCUUAACUUGGGAAUUGCAUUGGUGACUGCACGGCUAGAGUGUGUCAGAGGGGGGUAGAAUUCCACGUGUAGCAGUGAAAUGCGUAGAGAUGUGGAGGAAUACCGAUGGCGAAGGCAGCCCCCUGGGAUAACACUGA
rnacentral:rRNA from 1 species